AUUGAACGCUGGCGGCAGGCCUAACACAUGCAAGUCGAACGAGUGGCGGACGGGUGAGUAAUGCUUGGGAAUCUGCCUGAUGGAGGGGGAUAACUACUGGAAACGGUAGCUAAUACCGCAUACCAUCGGAUGUGCCCAAGUGGGAUUAGGUAGUUGGUGCGGUAAAGGCUCACCACGCCGACGAUCUCUAGCUGGUCUGAGAGGAUGACCAGCAAAACUGGAACUGAGACACGUCCCAGACUCCGACGGGAGGCAGCAGUGGGGAAUAUUGCGCAAUGGGGGCAACCCUGAUGCAGCCAUGCCGCGUGAAUGAAGAAGGCCUUCGGGUUGUAAAGUUCUUUCGGUAGCGAGGCGUUAACUACAGAAGAAGCACCGGCUAACUCCGUGCCAGCAGCCGCGGUAAUAC
rnacentral:rRNA from 1 species